rnacentral:rRNA from 1 species
GUAGCAAUACUGGCUUUAGUGGCGAACGGUCGCGUAACACGUAAGCAACCUGCCUUGAAGUUGGGGAUAACAGUCCGAAAGGUCUGCUAAUACCGGAUGUGGUCCACGGGGGGCAUCUUCUGUGGUCUAAAGAUUUAUCGCUUCAAGAUGGGCUUGCGGCCUAUCAGGUAGUUGGUGGGGUAAUGGCCUACCAAGCCGACGACGGGUAGCUGGUCUGAGAGGACGAUCAGCCGGAUUGGGACUGAGAUACGGCCCAGACUCCUACGGGGGGCAGCAAUUAGGAAUCUUGCACAAUGGGGGAAACCCUGAUGCAGCGACGCCGCGUGAAGGAUGAAGCUUUUCGGAGUGUAAACUUCUUUUGACAGGGAAGAAAAAAAUGACGGUACCUGUCGAAUCAGCCCCGGCUAACUACGUGCCAGCAGCCGCGGUAAUACGUAGGGGGCGAGCGUUGUCCGAAUUUACUGGGCGUAAAGCGCGCGUAGGCGGUUUCUUAAGUCUGGGGUGAAAGGUUCAACGCUCAACGUGAACAGUGCCUUGGAUACUGGGAGACUUGAGUCUGGGAGGGGGUAGUGGAAUUCCUGGUGUAGCGGUGAAAUGCGUAGAUAUCAGGAGGAACACCGGUGGCGAAGGCGGCUACCUGGCCUAAGACUGACGCUGAGGUGCGAAAGCGUGGGGAGCGAACGGGAUUAGAUACCCCGGUAGUCCACGCCGUAAACGAUGAGUGCUAGGUGUAGGGGGUAUCGACCCC